UACGUAGGGUGCAAGCGUUAAUCGGAAUUACUGGGCGUAAAGCGUGCGCAGGCGGUUUUUUAGGUCUGUCGUGAAAUCACCGGGCUCAACCUGGGAAUGGCGAUGGAGACUGCAAGGCUAGAGUUUGGCAGAGGGGGGUAGAAUUCCACGUGUAGCAGUGAAAUGCGUAGAUAUGUGGAGGAACAACGAUGGCGAAGGCAGCCCCCUGGGUCAAGACUGACGCUCAUGCACGAAAGCGUGGGGAGCAAACAGG
rnacentral:rRNA from 1 species